AGACGGAGGGUGCAAACGUUGUUCGGAAUCACUGGGCAUAAAGCGCACGUAGGCGGUCCGCUAAGUCAGGUGUGAAAUCCCUCGGCCCAACCGGGGAACUGCACAUGAAACUGGCGGGCUUGAGGACGGUAGGGGUGAGUGGAACUCCAGGUGGAGCGGUGAAAUGCGUAGAUAUCUGGAGGAACACCGGUGGCGAAAGCGGCUCACUGGACCGUCUCUGACGCUGAGGUGCGAAAGCUAGGGUAGCGAACGGGAUUAGAAACCCCAGUAGUCC
rnacentral:rRNA from 1 species